UACGUAGGGUGCAGGCGUUGUCCGGAAUUAUUGGGCGUAAAGAGCUCGUAGGCGGUUUGUCGCGUCGAAUGUGAAAACCCGGGGCUCAACCCCGGGCCUGCAUUCGAUACGGGCAGACUAGAGUUCGGUAGGGGAGUCUGGAAUUCCUGGUGUAGCGGUGAAAUGCGCAGAUAUCAGGAGGAACACCGGUGGCGAAGGCGGGACUCUGGGCCGAUACUGACGCUGGAGGAGCGAAAGCGUGGGGAGCAAACAGGA
rnacentral:rRNA from 1 species